AAGGUUACUCUUACCCUAUCUCUCUAUCUAUCUCUCUAGUCUACAACCUUUUCACGUGUCUCUCCUUUUCAAACUUCUGUUCUCUUCUGACCUUCUUUCUUCACUCUGUUUGUUUCCUAGGAAAAGCAAAAAACCUCAUUUGCAAACUUGUUUAUAGUGGCGGUGGUUAAUGUUUCUUUGUUGGUUUGUCUUUACAUAAAAGUCUAACAUUGUUUCAAGUGUUGAAGCAAAAAAAUGGAAGGAAGGAAACAAUUUGGUUCUUCUUCUUCUGAAACUUCUUCUUUCACUUCUGAACUCUUUGGUUCCAAUGACUUGCAUAAAUCCUCUGCUUCUGGAAUUUUUGACUCUAUUUUCUCUCCAUCUUCCAAGGUAUUUGGAAGAGAAUCUCUGCGCUCAGCAAUGAAUGGAAAAACUGCCACUGAGGGAUCAAACUCCAAAAUUGAUACUCAAGAGUACAUCAGUAAGGGAAAUGAUGGUGAAACUCAGAACAAAACAAAUAAGGAUAUGAGCUAUAUUUAUCAAGAACAAAGGGUGCAACCAUGUCACCUUAGCUCAUCAAUCUAUUAUGGUGGCCAAGACGUAUAUUCUCGUCCUCAGAGUGCACGAGAUUCAGGAUUGAACACUAUGUACAAGAAAGAUGGAGGAGAGGAUGAUUCAGGAAGCGCAUCAAGAGGAAACUGGUGGCAAGGUAAGACAUAUAUUGUCUAAUAAAUUUGUGGUGUAAACCUUGCAGUCGGCUUCGGUGUCAUGAAUUUCUCACCAAUUUCCUAUGCUGUAACUUGUCUAUAAACAGGAUCUCUCUAUUAUUAAAAGAGUACACUUGCCUAGGGAAAUAUGAUCCUCAAGAUAAAUAGGAAGAUAUUGUGACCAAGUUGUCCAUCUUUAGUAACAUGGAAGGAAACAUUGUACUGCAGUGACAAAGUUUUGAAUGGCUAGUUGCUUUUUCCAGCCAAACAAAAGAAUCACAAUAUGAACCUAUAGUUAUAGUUAUUAUAUACAUAUUUCAUUCUAUUUUCCUGUACAGAAUAAUGUACCUAGUCAUGAUAUUGUAUAAGUUGUAUGGUAUAGUAUAGGAAUAUGUAUCAUCAGGUACUUUUAUGUGGCUGAUGCUAGCUUUUGUAUUAAUGGGUGAAGCUCUAUUUUUAGUGGUUUCCCCUAUAUUGUAAUUUGUAUUUUAUAUAUUUACUUUAUGAGUGUAAUUUUAUGAGUAUAAUUCCCUAUAGUUUAUUAGUAUUUUGUUCUUUAAUAUA